CCGUGCCCCUGCUCGCGCUGCAGCCCGUGGAAGGGUUCCGUCCAGCGUAUCCUUCAGAUCUUGCUGUAGGCCUCUGGUGUCUGUGCGCGCGCGGCAGGGGCGGCGGCGGCGACGGCCGGAGGUGUACGAACAUGCAUCAUUAUUAGAACCAUCACCCUGCAGCUAGCUUGGAUACCAUUAAAAGGGCUCAUCAGCUGCAAACGGAUUAAAGUAUCUGAUACUCGGGAAGACAGAGUUUCAGGGUUUCUACCUGGAGCUACACCCUCAGGAAGCCCCUCCUUGGCCUCCCUGCACCCAGUCCCAUCCCAACCAGUCACAUCUUGGGCUGUGCGUGGUGUUUCUUGGAAACUGGAACACAGACUCCUCCAGCAGCUCCACAGGUCCCUUGUCCUCAAUGAGCAGAAGACUACAGGAGCUGGCUACUGAAGAGGCUGUCCAAGUAAUAGAGCACCUUCUUGGCCCUGCUUAGCACAUUUACUGCAGAGCUGGAUGCUACUUAUUUGUGCUCACCACCUUCAGGGACUGCAGAGAGAUUUGUCAGACCCUACUUCACUAAGGGCCACCCUCUAAGGAUCUCCAGAAGAGGCUGCCCAUAGAGAGAAGUGGCCUGCCUAGGGUCUCCACUUCCUCAGGUCCUACCCGGACACCUCUAGGGCUGAGGGGAUCAGUAUCUCUUCACCUGCCUGUAAUCCACAUACCAAGUGGAAGAAUCUGCCUGCUAUUUUUUGUUUGUUUGUUUGUUUUGGCGGGAAGAGUUUUAACUACUGCUGUAACUCCUUUAGUAGCUAUGGAACUGUUGAGGAUUUCUUUUUCUUCUUGAGUCGAUUUUGGUAAGAUAACAGUUUUCUAGGAGUUGGUCCAUUUUGUCUGCAUUUUCAAAUUCAUUGGCAUAAAGUUUCCUUUUUAUUCUGUGCUGUGUAUGAACUGUAACAAUGUCUCCUUUUUCAUUACUGAUAUUGGUUAUUUGUGCCUUCUCACUUUUUUUCUUGAUCAAUCUCACCAGAGGUUUAUCUAUUUUAUUAGUCUUUUCAAAGAACCAACUUUUGGCUUUGUUGCUCCUCUCUAUUGUAUCUUUGUUUUCUAUUUCUUUAAUUUCUGCUCUUAUCUUUUUUGAUCUCCUUCCUUCCACAUUUUUUGGGUUUAUUCUGUUGUUCUUUUUCUAAUUUAACUGGACAUUGAGCUCAUUAGUUUUCAUUCUUUCCCAUUUUCUAAUUUGUGCAUUUAAGGAUAUAAUUUCCCUCUAACUCCUGCUUCUCCAUAAGUUUAGAUAUGUAGUAUUUUCAUUAUUGCUCAGUUAUAAGUACUUCAUUUCUAUCAAGGUUACUUCUUUGACCUGUAAGUUAUAUAGAAAUGUGUUUUUAGAUUUCCAAAUGUUUGGGGAUUUAAAAUUUUAUCUCUUUGUUAUUGAAAUCUGUCUUAAUUGCAUUAUGGUCAGAGGAUGUGGUUUGUGUGACAACAACUCUGAAAUUUUUUAGACUUGUUUUAUGGCUUAGUAUGUGACCAAUAUUUUUGAAUGCUUCCUGUGUGCUAAUUUAUAAGAAUGUGUGUUCUCUAAUUGUUGAAUACAGAGAUCUACAUAUGUCUAUUAUCAAGUUUGUGAACUAUUGUUCAAUUUUUACUUACCUAUACUGAUUUUUUUGGUCAUUAUCUACUGAUAAUUGAAAGAGGUGCGUUAAUGUUCAACUGUAAUGGUGGAUUUGGCAAUUUCUCCUUGUAAUUCUAUCUCGUUUCUUGCUUUAUAUAUUUUGAGGGUGUUCAUUAGGAAUAUUCAAAUUAAAAAUUGU
rnacentral:lncRNA from 1 species